AGGCACCGGCGACAUUCCAACUCGGGGUCUCCUGUUUAUUAGACAGGCGCUUUAACCAACUAAGCCACGGUGCC
rnacentral:tRNA from 13 species